rnacentral:tRNA from 1 species
GGUCCCAUCGUCUAACGGUUAGGACAUCAGGUUCUCAUCCUGGAAAUCGGGGUUCGAUUCCCCGUGGGAUCA